GCAAAUCCAAAAGAACCAUUUAAUUGGAUCUCUGUGGUAUAAACACCAAAUAAAUAAAUAAUAAUAAUAGUAGUAUAGUAGUAGUAGUAGUAGUAGUAAGAAAUUGAGGAAUGAAUAUGGCUCGGCUUGUAUGGUAUUUACAGUUCGGUACACAUAACUUAUAUUAGUUAUAUCAGCAGACUUGCAGAAAAUUAUUCAUUGCUUUUUGAUAUCAUGAUACUAGGUGCUAUCAGUUAGGACGACAACGGUAAAAAAAAAGGGGAAAAAAAGAAAAAAGAAAAAAAAACAAGUAAGUGAAGAAUAUAUACGAAAUAAAAAAAAAAAUAAGCACCAAUAUAUAU